GUGAUGCAGAUGAGGGGACACCAGUUUUUGGUUAUUUUGCGUCUGAUUUAUUUCAAUGAUGUCACUCUUUUCACCUUGAAGAACUGAUUCAUUCC